rnacentral:tRNA from 1 species
GGUCUGUUAGCUCAGCUGGUAGAGCACUGUGUUCACAUCGCAGGGGUCACUGGUUCGAGUCCAGUACAGACCACCA